UCCAGACUCCUACGGGAGGCAGCAGUGGGGAAUAUUGCACAAUGGGGGGAACCCUGAUGCAGCGACGCCGCGUGAGUGAAGAAGUAUUUCGGUAUGUAAAGCUCUCUCAGCAGGGAAGAAAAUGACGGUACCUGACUAAGAAGCCCCGGCUAACUACGUGCCAGCAGCCGCGGUAAUACGUAGGGGGCAAGCGUUAUCCGGAUUUAUUGGGUUUAAAGGGUGCGUAGGCGGACUGUUAAGUCAGCGGUAAAAGCCGGGGCCCAACCCCCGGCGAGCCGUUGAAACUGGCUGUCUUGAGAUGUCGAGAGGUAUGCGGAAUGCGCAGUGUAGCGGUGAAAUGCUUAGAUAUUAGGAGGAACACCAGUGGCGAAGGCGGCUUACUGGACAGUAACUGACGUUGAGGCUCGAAAGCGUGGGGAGCAAACAGGAUUAGAUACCCUAGUAC
rnacentral:rRNA from 1 species